rnacentral:lncRNA from 1 species
AAAUGACAAAGACCUGUAUUUUCAUUUUUAUAUGUUUGCUCAUUUGUAAACAUAAAAACGAUGUUCUCCCGGGUGCGACGGCUACGGCAUUGAGAAUUUUAAAUUUUAAGAGAAGUGAUUACAUUACUAAUCCUCAUUAAUUCACUAGCUUUAUUAUUUUAAUGGAAAAAGUCAACUGCGAUUGAAAACCCAUUUUUGCAUUCAAAUUUGCACUUUCCUUCACGCAAUUUCCCCAUCAGCAAUUUAAUUAAUUUAUUUUUUUGGUUUAGAAUAGUGCUGGGUUCUCAAGUAGUGGGUCAAUAUUUGGUUCUAUUGAUAACAAUGAAAAAAGUAAUAAACUUGAAGAGGCCAAACGUGAAUUGUCCAUAAAAAACGCAUAAAAUUUUCAACUCAAUAUUUUUCUUCUUGCGAAAGUAUUUUUCGACCUGAGGUGAUCACCCAACCCUCUACAUAAUUAUGCUAGAGUUUCCAAGUAUAUUUUAAGAUAUAAACUCUUUAUUAAUUUAUUUUAUACAAAUUAAUGUGAUAAUCUCUUAAUCAACAUAAUUGAUUUUUAUUAUUUUAUAUUUUUCAUCCAACUAAAAAAAUUAUAGUACAUUAAUUUAUACAAAAUAAAUUCACAUAAAAAUUUAUAAUAUUAUCACCACUCUUCUCCAAGUAUACUUUAGAACUCUAGCAUUGUUAUUGUUUUCUUUUCAACAUACAAGUCAAAAUUUUCUUUUUCUUUUUUGGGUUCAUUUCUUAUUUCUAAUUCAAUAUUUAUUUGUAUUCUGCGAUUUGCCCAUAUUUGAACAACAUUUGAUCCUUAUCUUCUUACCUCAUAAUUAGAUAAAAUUUUAGAAUCUUCAUUAAUUGUUUGACAAGUAAACGUGUAGAAAAAUGUUGAACUCAUCGAUUACAUAGCAUAUGGCCAUCCACCAGCCAACCAAGACCGGCACACGUGUUAUCUGAAAAGAUUUUAUGAACAUGUCACGUUCUCAAUUACGUAAUGUUAUUUUUGCUUGUGAAAUACCGGUGUGAAAUUUCCAUGGAUACGCUUGAUUCUGUGGUAGUACACUAUAAUAUGAUAAUUUUUAUUGAGUAGUUUUAUACAUUUUAAAUUUUUUAUU